GACUCUCGGCAACGGAUAUCUCGGCUCUCGCAUCGAUGAGAACGUAGCGAAAUGCGAUACUUGGUGUGAAUUGCAGAAUUCCGUGAACCAUCGAGUCUUUGAACGCAAGUUGCGCCCGAAGCCACUAGGCCUUGGGCACGCCUGCCUGGGCGUCA
rnacentral:rRNA from 2 species